rnacentral:lncRNA from 1 species
GUGGCAUAUAUCAGUGCACUUUAAUUGAAAAUAUGUGUAUAUAAUAGCGAAAAAGGUGUAAUUUCAUAUAUCAUUUGAGAGCAAAUUAUUGACUAAUACACAAAAUGUGACGGAAGGCAAGUGAUUGAGUUCCGUGUUGAAAUUGAAGAUAUUUACUCCAUUCUUUUUCCAUUGAUUUCUUAAGGUUUUUUCAUAUUUUGGCUCCGAAAUUUUUAUCACUAAUUAGUUUUAUUAAAUAUUAUAUGCUUAAAAU